UUAUAACUAAAUAGUGUUAUUAUACCUUUAACUAUUAAUAUAUUAUUAAAAUGAUAAAUGUAGAAAUGUGAUUUUUUUUUAGAAGAAGUCAAUUAUAUGAAUUUAUAACCCGAAUCCAUUGUACUUCAAGAAGAAGACAAUAAUUCUGAAGAUAUGUUUCAUGAAUAUGGUAGUAAUGUUGAAGAAUCAAAUGUACAAUCUCUAGAAGGGGAUCAGUACAUUGGAAUUGAAGAUAUCAACAAUUUAUUAUCUAAAAGUGUAACGUCCAUAUUAAACUACUUCACGACAUGCAACAGCUUCCGUCGAACCCUGUCAGACGUGGUAAACUUGACUGUCAUGAACGUUUGGGACGGCGUAUGCAUGUGUUUUGUGUACAUAAGUUUUUUGGAAUUUAUUAGUCGCAAGAAGAAAAACAUUGUCCAAAACAAACAGCCGUAAGAUAAGCGAUAUCAACAACGUAUCACAAUUUUAAUUUUUGUUGGUGAGGCGAGAACAUAAUGGCAUCGUCGUACACAGACCUAUUCCACGCAGUACUUGACUUGGUAUGGACGGGAGGAGGGCAACAAUGAACAAUAACUUAUACUAGUUUAAAUGAAUUUAUAAACAUGUAUUUUUAAUAAGGGUCCAUAUUUUAAGUUUUCAGAAAACAGGUUCUUACCAAAUCAAGCAAUGUAGGGUCUUUUAUACAGGUUAUUUUUAAUCAUUUAUAUUUCAUUAUACUAUACUGGUUACUUGUCCAUUUG